UCUAAUUAUAAUUUUUUUUAAUCUCCUCAUCAAUCUACACACAAUACCCCAUUAUGACAAAGCAAAAACAGGUUUUUAUAAUGUUUGCAUGUAUUAAAAAAAAGAACUGAAAUACAAAUCACAUAAGUAUUCAGACCGUUUACUCAGUACUUUGUUGAAGCACCUCUUCUCUGCAGAUCCUCUCAAGCCCUGUCAGGUUGGAUGGGGAGCGUCGCUGCAAAGCUAUUUUCAGGUCUCCCCAGAGAUGUUCGAUCGGGUUCCAGUCCAGGCUCUGGCUGGGCCACUCAAGGACAUCCAGAGACUUGUCCCGAAGCCACUCCUGCUUUGUCUUGGCUGUGUGCUUAGGGUCAUUGUCCAGUUGGAAGGUGAACCUUCGCCCCAGUCUGAGGUACUGUCACGUUCUUGGAAAUGAGCGGACCAAGGCGCAGUGUGAGUAUAGUUCCACAUAUUUAUUUAAGUGAAACUAACAAAACAAAAUAACAAAACUUACAAAGACCGCUCUUCAGGGCGAGUGCGAGGAGCAGGCACAGGACGUACCAAACUGGGGAGGCGCACUGGAGGCCUGAUGCGUGGGGCCGGCGCAGGUUGCACUAGACUGGUGACACGCUCUUCUGGGCGAGUGCGAGGAGGAGGCACAGGACGUACCGGACUGGGGAGGCGCACUGGAGGCCAGAUGCGUGGAGCCGACACAGGUUUCACCAGACUGCUAACCGGAUCUUCUGGUCGAAUGUUGAGCAGAACACACUUGCACAACAUCUCUCUCCCAACUUCUCCAUUGCCUCCCUGACAGUCUCUGGCUCUUCCCGCGGCUCAGCCACCAGCUCCAUGUGCCCCCCCCAAAAAAUAUCUUGGGGUUUCUGUGGCCGUGGUCUGACGACACGCUCCUCCAGAGUUCACCAUUCCGGCUCUGGCACUCUCCUCGGCUCGACCGGCCACCCCUUGUGCCCAUCCCCCCAAAAAUCUUGGGGUUGUCCUUGGGCUUUCUGUGGCCGCGAACCCUGGCGUCGUCGCUGUCCUCCAUUAUUACCUUCUGUCUGCCGCCAAGGAAGGGUUUUGCAUCCACCCAUCACUUCUUCCCAUGUCCAAAACUCCUUUACCUGGUGAACACGCUGCUUGGUCCUGGUUUGGUGGGAUAUUCUGUCACGUUCUUGGAAAUGAGCAGACCAAGGCGCAGCUCUCCCAGUCCCUGAGGCUGAAAAACAUCCCCUCAGUAUGAUGCUG
rnacentral:lncRNA from 1 species